UACGAAGGGGGCUAGCGUUGUUCGGAAUCACUGGGCGUAAAGGGCGCGUAGGCGGCUUUGUAAGUCGGGGGUGAAAGCCUGUGGCUCAACCACAGAAUUGCCUUCGAUACUGCAUGGCUUGAGACCGGAAGAGGUUAGUGGAACUGCGAGUGUAGAGGUGAAAUUCGUAGAUAUUCGCAAGAACACCAGUGGCGAAGGCGGCUGACUGGUCCGGAUCUGACGCUGAGGCGCGAAAGCGUGGGGAGCAGACAGG
rnacentral:rRNA from 1 species